rnacentral:tRNA from 1 species
UGACGCCGGUGGGAUUUGAACCCACGCCCCGCAGGAAUGGAGAGCUUCGAAGUCCCGAGAAACGGGCGAGAGACGCAUCUCGUUCCGCUCGCUCACUCGACUUCUCCUAAAUCCAUCGCCUUAGACCACUCGGCCACAGCGUC